rnacentral:misc_RNA from 1 species
UUGUAAUCAGUGUAAACAACUCUCUCAUGCCUAUUUUAUGAAUGAAAUUCUAGCUCUCAGUGUAAGGGGGUUCUGCUGAAGAAGAUUUUUGUUUUUUCUUCUGUUUUGCUUUGGCUUUUAUUUCUCUGUUCUUGAGAAUUCAUUUUUCUGCUCAAAAUUCAACAGUGUUAUUAGAGCUUCUCAUGAUCUUUGAGGGCCUGUGAUUGAGAGAAAACAAGUGAGAAUCCCAUUUACAAAAGAACCUAAACACUAGAAAGUUGAGAGAGAUGGCUUCAAGUGGAUACUCUGCUCCACCUCCUCCUGUAUUUUCUGGAGAAGGUUACUCUAUUUGGUCUGUGAAGAUGAAGGCUUAUCUCAUAGCCUUUGACCUGUGGGAAGUCACUAAAACUGGAAGGCAACCAGGUCCCUUAAGGGAACAUCCCACUCUUGCUCAGUUGAAAGCACAUAGUGAGGAGUGUGCUAAAGGGUUUAAGGCUUUGUAUUGCAUACAUUCUGCUGUCUCUGAUGUCAUUUUUACAAGAAUUAUGGCUUGUGAAACUGCAAAGCAAGCUUGGGACAGACUUAACGAGGAGUUCCAUGGAAGUGAAAGCUCAAAGCAAAUGUCAGUGCUGAAUUUAAGGAGGGAAUUUGAGGUUCUAAAAAUAAAAGAAUAUGAAACUCUUAAGGAGUACACAGAUAGAUUAAUGUCUGUGGUCAAUAAAAUCAGAUUAUUGGGUGAAGAUUUACCAGAUAAAAGGGUUGUGGAGAAGGUUCUUGUAAGUCUACCUGAUAGAUUUGAGCCUAAGAUCUCAUCCUUGGAAGAUUCAAAGGAUUUGAGUAAGAUCACUUUACCUAAACUUAUAAAUUCCUUGCAAGCCAUUGAGCAAAGAAGAAUUAACAGACAAGAAGAUGCUUCUGAGGAGGCAUUUGUUGCCAAACAAAAAGGGAAGCAAGUGAUAGAGGUUAAGAAAGGUUCAAAAGAGAGAGAUAAGAAAGGGAAGCAACCUGAAAGCAGAAGUGAGGUUGUCAAAAGAGAGAGAUAAGAAAGGGAAGCAACCUGAAAGCAGAAGUGAGGUUGUCAAAAGAGAGAGAUAAGAAAGGGAAGCAACCUGAAAGCAGAAGUGAGGUUG